UUCAUACAUGAAGACGGCCAUUUAAUUCUCUAUCUCCCCGUAAUUUUACAUAAACGAUUUCAUCCAAAGAAAGCCUCACCAAAUCAAGAGGUUCCGCGACCUACAAACAUUAGUUACCGAGUUACUGUUGAUAAAUCUUACUGCCUGUGCCGAUUCCAUUAUAAAGUAAAGGGUUAUUAUAUCUACCAAGCAAGAUCGCUGUUGCUGCAAUUAUGCACUGGCAUAUGUCAGGAAGAAAUAAAGGAGGAAACAAAUUCGAAUUGCGCAGUGCAGCGAUG